UACGUAGGCAGCGAGCGUUGUUCGGAGUUACUGGGCGUAAAGGGUGUGUAGGCGGUCUUCUAAGUUUGGUGUGAAAUCGCCCAGCUUAACUGGGCAAGGUUAUGCCAGACUGUCACUCUAGAGUGCGAGAGAGGGGCGUGGAAUUCCGGGUGUAGUGGUGAAAUGCGUAGAGAUCCGGAGGAACCCCAGAGGCGAAGGCGGCGACCCUGGCUCGCAACUGACGCUCAGACACGACAGCAUGGGGAGCGAACGGG
rnacentral:rRNA from 1 species